GAUGAACGCUAGCGGCAGGCUUAGCACAUGCAAGUCGAGGGGUAUAGUAGCAAUACUAGAGACCGGCGCACGGGUGCGUAACGCGUAUGCAAUCUACCUUUUACAGAGGGAUAGCCCAGAGAAAUUUGGAUUAAUACCUCAUAGUAUAACGACCUGGCAUCAGGAUGUUAUUAAAGUCACAACGGUAAAGAUGAGCAUGCGUCCCAUUAGCUUGGGUAAGGUAACGGCUUACCAAGGCUACGAU
rnacentral:rRNA from 1 species